rnacentral:rRNA from 1 species
UACGGAGGGUGCGAGCGUUGUCCGGAAUCAUUGGGCGUAAAGGGCGCGUAGGCGGCCUGUUAAGUCGGGUGUGAAAGCCCUGGGCUCAACCCAGGAAGUGCACUCGAAACUGACGGGCUUGAAUAUGGAAGAGGGUCGCGGAAUUCCCGGUGUAGAGGUGAAAUUCGUAGAUAUCGGGAGGAACACCAGUGGCGAAGGCGGCGACCUGGGCCAAUAUUGACGCUGAGGUGCGAAAGCGUGGGGAGCAAACAGG